GAUGAACGCUGGCGGCGUGCUUAACACAUGCAAGUCGAACGGUGAAGCCCAGCUUGCUGGGUGGAUCAGUGGCGAACGGGUGAGUAACACGUGAGCAACCUGCCCCGGACUCUGGGAUAAGCGCUGGAAACGGCGUCUAAUACUGGAUAUGAGCAGCGGCCGCAUGGUCAGCUGUUGGAAAGAUUUUUCGGUCUGGGAUGGGCUCGCGGCCUAUCAGCUAGUUGGUGAGGUAACGGCUCACCAAGGCGUCGACGGGUAGCCGGCCUGAGAGGGUGACCGGCCACACUGGGACUGAGACACGGCCCAGACUCCUACGGGAGGCAGCAGUGGGGAAUAUUGCACAAUGGGCGCAAGCCUGAUGCAGCAACGCCGCGUGAGGGAUGACGGCCUUCGGGUUGUAAACCUCUUUUAGCAAGGAAGAAGCGAAAGUGACGGUACUUGCAGAAAAAGCGCCGGCUAACUACGUGCCAGCCGCCGCGGUAAAAC
rnacentral:rRNA from 1 species